rnacentral:rRNA from 1 species
CGGGACGGGUGAGUAACGCGUGGAUAACCUGCCUCACACUGGGGGAUAACAGUUAGAAAUGACUGCUAAUACCGCAUAAGCGCACAGUACCGCAUGGUACAGUGUGAAAAACUCCGGUGGUGUGAGAUGGAUCCGCGUCUGAUUAGCCAGUUGGCGGGGUAACGGCCCACCAAAGCGACGAUGGAUAGGGGUUCUGAGAGGAGGGUCCCCCACAUUGGAACUGAGACACGGUCCAA